GACGAACGCUGGCGGCGUGCUUAACACAUGCAAGUUGAACGGAAAGGCCCUGCUUUUGUGGGGUGCUCGAGUGGCGAACGGGUGAGUCACACGUGAGUAACCUGCCCUUGACUUUGGGAUAACUUCAGGAAACUGGGGCUAAUACCGGAUAGGAGCUCCUGCUGCAUGGUGGGGGUUGGAAAGUUUCGGCGGUUGGGGAUGGACUCGCGGCUUAUCAGCUUGUUGGUGGGGUAGUGGCUUACCAAGGCUUUGACGGGUAGCCGGCCUGAGAGGGUGACCGGCCACAUUGGGACUGAGAUACGGCCCAGACUCCUACGGGAGGCAGCAGUGGGGAAUAUUGCACAAUGGGCGGAAGCCUGAUGCAGCAACGCCGCGUGCGGGAUGACGGCCUUCGGGUUGUAAACCGCUUUCGCCUGUGACGAAGCGUGAGUGACGGUAAUGGGUAAAGAAGCACCGGCUAACUACGUG
rnacentral:rRNA from 1 species